rnacentral:ncRNA from 1 species
GCAAUGCACCGAAGCUGCGGCAGCGACGCUGAUGCGUUGUUGGGUAGGGGAGCGUUCUGUAAGCCUGUGAAGGUGUGCUGUGAGGCAUGCUGGAGGUAUCAGAAGUGCGAAUGCUGACAUAAGUAACGAUAAAGCGGGUGAAAAGCCCGCUCGCCGGAAGACCAAGGGUUCCUGUCCAACGUUAAUCGGGGCAGGGUGAGUCGACCCCUAAGGCGAGGCCGAAAGGCGUAGUCGAUGGGAAACAGGUUAAUAUUCCUGUACUUGGUGU